rnacentral:rRNA from 1 species
GACGAACGCUGGCGGCGUGCUUAACACAUGCAAGUCGAACGAAGUGGCGAACGGGUGAGUAACGCGUAAUCAACCUGCCCUUCAGAGGGGGACAACAGUUGGAAACGACUGCUAAUACCGCAUACUGAAGGAGGGGAUUGCUUCUGAUUAGCUCGUUGGAGGGGUAACGGCCCACCAAGGCUAUGACGCUUAACUGGACUGAGAGGAUGAUCAGUCACAUUGGAACGGAGACACGGUCCAAACGCCGACGGGAGGCAGCAGUAGGGAAUAGUGCGCAAGGGGGGAAACCCGGACGCAGCAACGCGGCGUGGAGGAUGACACUUUUCGGAGCGUAAACUCCUUUUGUUAGGGAAGCGGUACCUAACGAAUAAGCACCGGCUAACUCCGUGCCAGCAGCCGCGGUAAUUC